GAUGAAGAACGUAGCGAAAUGCGAUAAGUAAUGUGAAUUGCAGAAUUCAGUGAAUCAUCGAAUCUUUGAACGCACCUUGCGCCCUUUGGCCAUUCCGAAGGGCAUGCCUGUUUGAGUAUCAUGAACACCUCAACUCCUCAUGGUUUUCCGUGAUGAGCUUGGACUUUGGGGGUCUUGCUGGCCUAUGGUCAGCUCCUCUAAAAUAAAUCAGCUUGCCAGUGUUUGGUGGGUAUCACAGGUGUGAUAACUAUCUACGCUUGUGGUUUUCCACCAGGUAACCUUCAGCAGUGGAGGUUCGCUGGAGCUCACAGAUGUGUCUCUCCUCAGUGAGGACAGCUCUUUGAAUGUUUGAUCUCAAAUCAGGUAGGACUACCCGCUGAACUUAAGCAUAUCAAUAAGCGGAGGA
rnacentral:misc_RNA from 1 species